rnacentral:misc_RNA from 1 species
AGAGAGAGAGAGAAAGGAAACCUCUGGCCCCUUCAUUGUUCGAAUUUCUUGAUCCCCUGGCCUCUUCAUUGCUUGGCGGCUAGGCUACUAGCGGUUUUCCAUCAUCGCGCGCAGUUCCAUCACUGAAGAACCUGACCUAGCUGCUAAAGAUGGAAGAAGAGCCCAACCCUGUUCACUCCCCUCCUCAAAACUCCGUAACUCCUCUUACAAAUGACAGAUACGAGCGUAUAAUGAGCAAUCUCAGAGCCUCGGUGUUUUCGAAAAUAAGCCCCUCAGGAGACAUUGCGCCUCAAAUCAAGACCUACAUUGAAAAACGGCUGCGAGAAUUCUUCCCCAGUUUCCACACACCCUCUCACCCACCUUACGCCUCUAUGAUUCUAAGGGCAAUUUCAGAGUUGAAUGAUGAAGGGGGGUCCACCGAGGAGGCAAUAUCAGCAUUUAUUAAAAGAGAGUAUGAGCAUUUGCCAUGGGGGCAUGAGAGUUUUUUGAGUCAUCAUUUGAGGAAGCUUUGUCGGAAUUUGGAGAUAGAAUGUGUAAAUAAUGGACGAUAUAUGCUUUUAUUUGAAGAUUGUGAGUUUAAGGAGAUGACAGGAGCAAGUAGGAAAAAGCAGGGUCGCAGAGGUAGGCAGGGCAGGAAAAAAGGCAGAGCGAAGGAGAUGAAGAAACAAAGUCAAGCUGAAAACCAACAAAUUGAAGUAUAUAAAGAG